rnacentral:miRNA from 1 species
UAGGUGCGAUUUUCUUCUUCUGAUGUAUGUGAACGAGUGGAUGAGUUAUAAAUGUUCAGAUGAGGAUACACAUACUCAAAACAUUCAUUUCUCAUCCACUCGUUCACAUGCAUUAGAAGACGAAAAUUGCACUAG